rnacentral:rRNA from 1 species
AUUGAACGCUGGCGGCACGCUUAACACAUGCAAGUCGAACGGGAUCCUGGCUUCGGUCAGGUGAGAGUGGCGGACGGGUGAGUAGCGCGUGGGAACCUGCCCAGUGGUGGGGGAUAACUGCGGGAAACUGCAGCUAAUACCGCAUGAGCCCGAGAGGGGAAAGAUUUAUCGCCAUUGGAGGGGCCCGCGUUCGAUUAGGUAGUUGGUGAGGUAACGGCUCACCAAGCCGACGAUCGAUAGCUGGUCUGAGAGGAUGAUCAGCCACACUGGGACUGAGAUACGGCCCAGACUCCUACGGGAGGCAGCAGUGGGGAAUAUUGGACAAUGGGGGCAACCCUGAUCCAGCAAUGCCGCGUGAGUGAUGAAGGCCUCGGGUUGUAAAGCUCUUUGGUCGGGGACGAUGAUGACGGUACCCGCAGAAUAAGCCCCGGCUAACUUCGUGCCAGCAGCCGCGGUAAU